UGAGCAAUCUGCCCUUCUCUUCGGAAUAAGCGUUGGAAUCGACGUCUAAUGCCGAAUACGACCUCCUUUCGCAUGAUCGGAGGUGGAAAGCUCCGGCGGAGAAGGAUGAGCUCGCGGCCUAUCAGCUAGUUGGUGUGGGUAAUAGCCCACCAAGGUGACGACGGGUAGCCGGCCUGAGAGGGUGACCGGCCACACUGGGACUGAGACACGGCCCAGACUCCUACGGGAGCAG
rnacentral:rRNA from 1 species